rnacentral:rRNA from 1 species
AAUAUUGCACAAUGGGCGCAAGCCUGAUGCAGCCGAUGCCGCGUGUAUGAAGAAGGCCUUCGGGUUGUAAAGUACUUUCAGCAGUGAGGAAGGUGGGUAUCGUUAAUAGCAUAUUCAUUUGACGUUAGCUGCAGAAGAAGCACCGGCUAACUCCGUGCCAGCAGCCGCGGUAAUACGGAGGGUGCGAGCGUUAAUCGGAAUUACUGGGCGUAAAGCGCAUGCAGGUGGUUUGUUAAGUCAGAUGUGAAAGCCCGGGGCUCAACCUCGGAAUUGCAUUUGAAACUGGCAAACUAGAGUACUGUAGAGGGGGUAGAAUUUCAGGUGUAGCGGUGAAAUGCGUAGAGAUCUGAAGGAAUACCGGUGGCGAAGGCGGCCCCCUGGACAGAUACUGACACUCAGAUGCGAAAGCGUGGGGACGCAAACAGGAUUAGAUACCCUGGUAG